rnacentral:lncRNA from 1 species
CAUCUACAAUCAGGACAGCUAUAGAAACAAGUCUGGCACAGCUGACAAAUUCUUUCUCCAUUGAUCUUUAUAAAGCAUAAGUCAUGUUAAUUAAAUAACCUAUAAUUAGUAUCAGUGUACAAAAUCUUUGCCAUAUCAUGUUGAUAUGUUACAGAAAAUGUUAGCAUUUUCUGCACAAUGGUUUCUAAAGAUGGAAGCAUCAUAUGGAGAAUAUAGCUAGAGCAACUGCUAUAAUUUGAAUAAUGUGAAAUAUAUAUAAAGAAAAUGGAGGAAAAAAAAUCCCAAAUGUUACUUUUGGUUCCAAAUGGUAACAUGACUUCUUUUAUCUCCUUUCUUUACCCAAAUCUUGUUAAAAUGAGAAUAAGAUAAUAAAAAUGGCCAGAAGAACAAGAGAGAGACAAAGCAGAGGAAUGAGCAGUAGCUACCCUAACAGGACAGUGGAAAUUACAUCUAAGUGUGUGCUGGAAGAUCCCAGUGAUAAGGGAGUGGAUUUUCCUAGCAAUGCCCCCAAAGAGACAGGCCACUGGAGCAGGAUGGGAGCCUGGGCUGGGGGUGGUGGUGGUGGGCAGGGCUAGAAACCAAGAUGAAAAUAUAGAGCCUGUGAAACUCCAAACACAGUACUGCUGGGCCCCUGAGACCCUCACCCUGAUAGGGCAUGGAGGCCCCCACCCCCACCCUACUUCUGCCAGCACCCACAGGACUCCAGGUGGACAGCAUGGGCCAAAAGCAAGACUGACUGGUGCCAAGUGUUGGGGUCUUUGUCUUUUACUCCCUCUGCCUAGCUGUCAAUGCCAGCAGCCAGACACAGAAUGCUUUCUGGGAAGGACUUUUUUCCUUUGGCAGAAACUCAUCAGCCCAGGUAGGGGUGCAUCCAUGCACAUGCAUGCACAUAUGCACUGGAGCAGAGGGAAAGGGGGCACCUCCUGGAACUUUAGGGGGUUCCAAUUUGGAGAAAGCUAGCUCAGCAUAGGAUUCAUAUACAGAACAUUCCACCAUCCACAGGUCCCACCUUCUCAUACUGAGAUCUUGAUCAGAUUUCUCAGUAACUCCCUUUUAAAUGGUAAUAGGCAGACAAGCAUCUAACUUGAAAGCCAGAGACCCAAAAAAUCAAACAGAAAAAAGGAACCUGGAGGAAAACAAGAUAUCCAAAGGACAUUUUUCUUCAAAAACUUCAAAAGGCCUAGGAAAUUGUCUAGCGAAGUAAGUAAAGCUAUUGUAGCCCUAAAAUAAAAACCAAAUGCUCCUUAAAAAAAAAAGGCAAAAUAAGAGUUGAAAAUUAAAUAUUUAAUCGAAACAAAGAUUCCAUAGGAGGAUUUGAAGGAAAAUCAAGGAACUCUCGAAGAAGGUAGAGCAAAAAUCAAACAACAGAAUUAGGAAAUAAUUAUGAAAAAAGUGAUAAAAAGGAGGUUCCAUCCAGAAGGUCCAAUGUUCAAGUAAUAAACAUUCUAGGCAAAGAGAACAGAGGUUAAAGCAGGGAAGAAAUUAUUUAAGAAAGAAUACUAAAAAGUCACGGGUAUCCAGAGCUGGGAAGAGCAGUCUAAAAAAAAAAAAAAAAAAAACAAAAACAAAA